rnacentral:rRNA from 1 species
AGUGAACGCUGGCGGUAGGCCUAACACAUGCAAGUCGAACGGCAGCACAGUAAGAGCUUGCUCUUACGGGUGGCGAGUGGCGGGCGGGUGAGGAAUACAUCGGAAUCUACUUUUUCGUGGGGGAUAACGUAGAGACACUUACGCUAAUACCGCAUACGACCUACGGGUGAAAGCAGGAGAUCUUCGGACCUUGCGCGAUUGAAUGAGCCGAUGUCGGAUUAGCUAGUUGGCGGGGUAAAGGCCCACCAAGGCGACGAUGCGUAGCUGGUCUGAGAGGAUGAUCAGCCACACUGGAACUGAGACACGGUCCAGACUCCUACGGGAGGCAGCAGUGGGGAAUAUUGGACAAUGGGCGCAAGCUUGACCCAGCCAUACCGCGUGGGUGAAGAAGGUCUUCGGGUCGUAAAGCUCUGUUGUUGGGAAAGAAAAGCAGCAGGUGAAUAUACGGCUGUUUUGACGGUACCCAAAGAAAAAGCACCGGCUAACUUCGUG